AGGUAGUGGGGUGGGUGGGAAUACAGUGUGCUGCUCCACCAAUAGGAGGAAGAGGGUGUGUCAUAUGCAAAUAACCCCGUGAACUCCAGCCCCUCCCCUAAGACAAGGCACAGCCCCUGCUCUAGGUCUCUGCAGAAAUGGUGAGGGAAUGAGAUAAAUAACUGGGAGCUAGAGCUCGCUAGUGGGUCUAAGACUGAGCUAAAUAUUUCCUGAUUUCUUGAGAAAGAGGAUGGGGGUGGGGGGAGCUAAAACGUCCUUACCGUCAGGGCAGUGGUUAGGCUUUCUCUUAACCAAAAUCUUAGCUGUAAAGAAGACUGCAAUCACGUAGCACUUUGCAUCAAAGGAUCUCAAAGAACUUUAUGCAUCAUUUAUCGUGAGCCCUGUUUUGCAAAAUACCAGUUACCUGAGGCUUCGGCAGCGGGUAGGGGAUAGAUGUUUAAGUAUAUUUGCACCAAUAAUCGAGUUAGAGGGAAGAAAAGACACAAAACCUGUGGGUGAGUGGUUUCCUCCUCCAUCUAAAGCCCCUUCUCGCAGUCUCUCAGCAACGAAAAUUCCUUUAUUUGUCCAACACGAAAAGGCCAAAGAGACAGGGUUGUCUUCCACCCCAAAGUCUUUCUGAGGUAGCUGGUUAGAUAAACGCAGAGCAUGGAGCUCUGCCUGGGAGCGAAGGUUCAGAGAACAAAUUGCCAUUUAAAACUGUUGGGCUGGACCUGCCUCUUCCGAAGCUAAAAAUGGAUUUAGGAUUUUGGCGUUCACGCUCUGGGGAGAGAAGGCAGAUGUAAUUGGGGAAAGCUCAGGCUGGCAGGGUGUGGGGGACAGGCGAGUGGGGGAGCGAGGUCUCCCGAGGAGCUAGCAGCGCGCAUGCUAGUCGAAUGCUGGUUCCCGACGCGAGACGCCCCGAAACCUGCUCCCCAGUGAGAACAAAGGCAGGCUCCGGGCGAGAACCUGAUUGGUGCCCGGUCCUCACCGGAGUCCUCCGGACCCCGGAGAUAACUUGCUCUGCCCACUGGCGCGGAGCUCCGUGCGCACUGGCGCCCCAGCUCCCCACCCGGCCUUGGCCGGGACCACAUAGGACUGUGCGUUAUGACAUCACCUGUUUUCGCUGUUGAGAACACGAUCGGUAUUCUCUGCUUCUCUUUUUUUAAAGGUCUCUGGUGUACGAGGAUUUGUGAAGGCCUGCAGUUGGCAGAAUGAAUCUGUGGAGAUGGUUUAAAAGAACGGUUUCACUGAAGACAUGAACAUCUAGAGAGUCACAUGUCUAUGGGGAAUUGGAAUGCUGAGGAAUGGAAACAAAUGGAAAUAUAUUACACAAGUGGAACUUCAGCUGUGACCUGAAAUGUAUUACCUAAGAACUCUGUACAGAUGAAGAUGAAGAAGGACCAUCUUCUCUGGGACUUGGGCUCUCACGCGUAUUAGACCCAGCCACUGAUAGGAGCUGCCGAUUUCAUGUGAAGUGAUCAGUUGCUUUUUGUGCUCUGAAGGUGCUGAUUUCCAACGACUGCAAUGUUACAUCCAUGAGUUCUUCCAGCUUUGAAACUGAGCGCUCCAAGCAAGAAGAUCCCUUUUCUUCUGCUGCUAUGCCGGGGAAACGUUGAGAUUACUUCAGCCAAAAUAACAUUUCUGCCAGCUGACAUCCUAACUCAGAGAGGCAGCUAGUCGUGCUAACAAAGAAAACGAUGUUUGGUCAUAAAGGAGUGUGAUGAAACUUUCGCUUUAUCUUUUUCUAUCUCAAUACCACAAUAUGGAGACGAGUUAUUUUCUUAAAGUACUUGUCACCUGCUUUGUGAUUGUCAUUUUACUUGGCUGCCUUCUCUGCGAGAUUAUAGGCUUCAUGAGGACGGUUUUCCUCCUCAUUGUAUCCUCAAUACAGUAACAACGGUUUUUUUUGAAGAAAUGAAUAAAGAAAGUCAACUCAGAAAAA